rnacentral:rRNA from 1 species
UACGUAGGGGGCAAGCGUUGUCCGGAAUCAUUGGGCGUAAAGAGCGCGUAGGCGGUCCGGUAAGUCGGUUGUGAAAACUGGGGGCUCAACCCUCAGAGGCCGAUCGAUACUGUCGGGCUAGAGUCCGGAAGAGGCGAGUGGAAUUCCUGGUGUAGCGGUGAAAUGCGCAGAUAUCAGGAGGAACACCAAUUGCGAAGGCAGCUCGCUGGGACGUAACUGACGCUGAGACGCGAAAGCGUGGGGAGCAAACAGG